rnacentral:rRNA from 1 species
CCUACGGGUGGCUGCAGUGGGGAAUAUUGGACAAUGGGCGAAAGCCUGAUCCAGCCAUGCCGCGUGUGUGAAGAAGGCCUUCGGGUUGUAAAGCACUUUCAGUGGGGAAGAAAGCCUUGGGGCUAAUACCCUCGAGGAAGGACAUCACCCACAGAAGAAGCACCGGCUAACUCCGUGCCAGCAGCCGCGGUAAUACGGAGGGUGCGAGCGUUAAUCGGACUUACUGGGCGUAAAGCGCGCGUAGGCGGUCUGAUAAGCCGGUUGUGAAAGCCCCGGGCUCAACCUGGGAACGGCAUCCGGAACUGUCAGGCUAGAGUGCAGGAGAGGAAGGUAGAAUUCCCGGUGUAGCGGUGAAAUGCGUAGAGAUCGGGAGGAAUACCAGUGGCGAAGGCGGCCUUCUGGACUGACACUGACGCUGAGGUGCGAAAGCGUGGGUAGCAAACAGGAUUAGAUACCCUUGUAGUC